GACGAACGCUGGCGGCGUGCUUAACACAUGCAAGUCGAACGAAGUGGCGAACGGGUGAGUAACGCGUAAUCAACCUGCUCUUCAGAGGGGGACAACAGUUGGAAACGACUGUUAAUACCGCAUCUCGAAGGCGGGGGUUGCGUCUGAUUAGCUAGUUGGAGGGGGAACGGCCUACCAAGGCGAUGAUCAGUUGGCGGGCUGGAAGGAUGAACGGCCACAUUGGGACUGGAGCACGGCCCAGACUCCUACGGGAGGCAGCCGUGGGGGAACUUCCGAAAUGGACGGAAGUCUGACUGGGCAACUCCGCGUGGGUGGUGACGGCCUUCGGGUUGUAAAGCUCUGUUAAUCGGGACGCGGUACCGGAAUAGAAAGCCACGGCUAACUACGUGCCAGCAGCCGCGGUAAUAC
rnacentral:rRNA from 1 species